rnacentral:rRNA from 1 species
GACGAACGCUGGCGGCGUGCUUAACACAUGCAAGUCGAACGGUGAAGGGAUCAGCUUGCUGGUUCUGGAUGAGUGGCGCACGGGUGAGUAACACGUGAGUAACCUGCCCCCUUCUUCUGGAUAACCGCAUGAAAGUGUGGCUAAUACGGGAUAUUCUGGGUCUGUCGCAUGAUGGGUCUGGGAAAGAUAUUGUUUCGGUGGGGGAUGGGCUCGCGGCCUAUCAGCUUGUUGGUGGGGUGAUGGCCUACCAAGGCGGUGACGGGUAGCCGGCCUGAGAGGGUGGACGGUCACACUGGGACUGAGACACGGCCCAGAAUCCUACGGGAGGCAGCAGUGGGGAAUAUUGCACAAUGGGCGCAAGCCUGAUGCAGCGACGCCGCGUGAGGGAUGGAGGCCUUCGGGUUGUAAACCUCUUUCGCCAGUGAAGCAGGCCUGCUCAUUGUGGGUGGGUUGACGGUAGCUGGAUAAGAAGCGCCGGCUAACUACGUG